GGAUUAGCUAGUUGGUAGGGUAAAGGCCUACCAAGGCGACGAUCCGUAGCUGGUCUGAGAGGACGACCAGCCACACUGGAACUGAGACACGGUCCAGACUCCUACGGGAGGCAGCAGUGGGGAAUUUUGGACAAUGGGGGCAACCCUGAUCCAGCCAUUCCGCGUGAGUGAAGAAGGCCUUCGGGUUGUAAAGCUCUUUCGGCAGGAACGAAACGGUGCGGGCUAAUAUCCUGCAUCAAUGACGGUACCUGAAGAAGAAGCACCGGCUAACUACGUGCCAGCAGCCGCGGUAAUACGUAGGGUGCGAGCGUUAAUCGGAAUUACUGGGCGUAAAGCGUGCGCAGGCGGUUCUAUAAGACAGAUGUGAAAUCCCCGGGCUUAACCUGGGAACUGCGUUUGUGACUGUAGGACUCGAGUGUGGCAGAGGGGGGUGGAAUUCCACGUGUAGCAGUGAAAUGCGUAGAGAUGUGGAGGAACACCGAUGGCGAAGGCAGCCCCCUGGGUCAACACUGACGCUCAUGCACGAAAGCGUGGGGAGCAAACAGGAUUAGAUACCCUGGUAGUCCACGCCCUAAACGUUGCGAACUAGGUGUUGGAGAAGGAGACUUCUUUAGUACCGUAGCUAACGCGUGAA
rnacentral:rRNA from 1 species